GUGGGGAAUUGUUCGCAAUGGGCGAAAGCCUGACGACGCAACGCCGCGUGGAGGAUGAAGGUCUUCGGAUUGUAAACUCCUGUUGCUCGGGACGAAUAGCUUCAACCUAAUACGUUGAAGUCUGACGGUACCGGGUGAGGAAGCCCCGGCUAACUCUGUGCCAGCAGCCGCGGUAAUACAGAGGGGGCAAGCGUUGUUCGGAAUUACUGGGCGUAAAGGGCGCGUAGGCGGCCCGCUAAGUCGAACGUGAAAUCCCCGGGCUCAACCCGGGAACUGCGUCCGAUACUGGUGGGCUUGAAUCCGGGAGAGGGAUGUGGAAUUCCAGGUGUAGCGGUGAAAUGCGUAGAUAUCUGGAGGAACACCGGUGGCGAAGGCGGCAUCCUGGACCGGUAUUGACGCUGAGGCGCGAAAGCCAGGGGAGCAAACGGGAUUAGAUACCCCAGUAGUCC
rnacentral:rRNA from 1 species